UACGAAGGGCGCAAGCGUUACUCGGAAUUACUGGGCGUAAAGCGUGCGUAGGCGGUUCGUUAAGUCUGUCGUGAAAGCCCUGGGCUCAACCUGGGAAUUGCGAUGGAUACUGGCGAGCUAGAGUACGGUAGAGGAUGGUGGAAUUCCCGGUGUAGCGGUGAAAUGCGUAGAGAUCGGGAGGAACACCCGUGGCGAAGGCGGCCACCUGGCAUAAUACUGACGCUGAGGCGCGAAAGCGUGGGGAGCGAACAGG
rnacentral:rRNA from 1 species